rnacentral:rRNA from 1 species
ACUACGGGUUGCAGCAGUAGGGAAUUUUGCGCAAUGGGCGAAAGCCUGACGCAGCAACGCCGCGUGAUCGAGACGCCCUUCGGGGUGUAAAGAUCUGUCAGUGGGGACGAAACUUGACGGUACCCACAGAGGAAGCACCGGCUAACUCCGUGCCAGCAGCCGCGGUAAUAAGGGGGGUGCAAGCGGUGUCCGGAAUCAUUGGGCGUAAAGCGUUCGUAGGCGGCACGUAAAGGCGUGCGUUAAAGGGAGAGGCUCAACUUCUGGUCGGCACUGGAUACUUGCUAGCUAGAGUGCGGGAGAGGUAAAGGGAAUGCCUGGUGUAGCGGUGAAAUGCUUAGAUAUCAGGAGGAACAUCGGUGGCGUAGGCGCUUUACUGGGCCGUAAUUGACGCUGAGGAACGAAAGCCAGGGUAGCAAAUGGGAUUAGAUACCCUGGUAGUC